AAGCAUAUCAAUAAGCGGAGGAAAAGAAACCAACAGGGAUUGCCCUAGUAACGGCGAGUGAAGCGGCAACAGCUCAAAUUUGAAAAUCUGGCCUCACGGUCCGAAUUGUAAUUUGUAGAGGAUGUUUCUGGCGACGUGUCUUCCGAGUUCCCUGGAACGGGACGCCAUAGAGGGUGAGAGCCCCGUCCGGUCGUACACCUAGCCUCUGUGAAACUCCUUCGACGAGUCGAGUAGUUUGGGAAUGCUGCUCUAAAUGGGAGGUAUACGUCUUCUAAAGCUAAAUACCGGCCAGAGACCGAUAGCGCACAAGUAGAGUGAUCGAAAGAUGAAAAGCACUUUGAAAAGAGGGUUAAAUAGUACGUGAAAUUGCUGAAAGGGAAGCGCUUAUGACCAGACUUGGGCUCGGUGAAUCAUCCGGCGUUCUCGCCGGUGCACUUUGCCGUCCCAGGCCAGCAUCAGUUCGCGCCGGGGGAUAAAGGUUUCGGGAAUGUAGCUCCCUCGGGAGUGUUAUAGCCCGUUGCGUAAUACCCUGGCGUGGACUGAGGUCCGCGCUCUGCAAGGAUGCUGGCGUAAUGGUCAUCAGUGACCCGUCUUGAAACACGGACCAAGGAGUCGUCUUCGUAUGCGAGUGUUCGGGUGUCAAACCCCUACGCGUAAUGAAAGUGAACGUAGGAGAGAGCUUCGGCGCAUCUCCGACCGAUCCUGAUGUUCUCGGAUGGAUUUGAGUAAGAGCAUACGGGGCCGGACCCGAAAGAAGGUGAACUAUGCCUGUAUAGGGUGAAGCCAGAGGAAACUCUGGUGGAGGCUCGCAGCGGUUCUGACGUGCAAAUCGAUCGUCAAAUAUGGGCAUGGGGCGAAAGACUAAUCGA
rnacentral:rRNA from 1 species